rnacentral:tRNA from 2 species
GGGCCGUUAGCUCAGUCGGUAGAGCAUCGGACUUUUAAUCCGUUGGUCGCUGGUUCGAUUCCAGCACGGCCCACCA